CCCAGAAACACUUCAUUUAGUCCUCACCAGAACUCAACCCAGAAACACUUCAUUUAGUCCUCACCAGAACUCAACCCAGAAACACUUCAUUUAGUCCUCACCAGAACUCAACCCAGAAACACUUCACUUAGUCCUCACCAGAACUCAACCCAGAAACACUUCAUUUAGUCCUCCCCAGAACUCAACCCAGAAACACUUCAUUUAGUCCUCACCAGAACUCAACCCAGAAACACUUCAUUUAGUCCUCACCAGAACUCAACCCAGAAACACUUCAUUUAGUCCUCACCAGAACCAGGAGAGUUCACCACAUCACUCCAGUUCUCAAAGAUCUGCACUGGCUUCCUGUCACACACAGCCACUUCAAAAUCAUACGUUCAACAUACAAGGCACUGGAUGGAUUGGGCCCAGAGGUGUGUCUUCAGGGUCAGGGUUACUCCUCAUCUCCAGAGUCAGAACUACAUUCACUGAGGCAGCUUUGACCUUAUUUAAGACUAGAGCUGCCAAGGGGUCUAUGAUUUAGAGGUUCUAGUGUUAAGGGUCUCCAUAUCAGACUGAACCCUCCCCCCAUCUGGUCCCCAGGCUCUGAGGUGUCUCCGGUCUGUCUCCCGGACGAGGACGAGGACCUAGACAGCAGCUGGUCCUGUGUCACCACCGGCUGGGGGGCCACCAAGGCUUCAGCGGCGGUGGAUCUGGAACGGCAGCACCAGGCCAGCCUGACUCUGGUGAACCUGACCUCCUGCCGGCAGCAGUGGGGGGGGGACCUCGUCACGGACUCUCAUAUCUGUGCCCAUCCUGCCGGCUCCGCCUCCUGCAUGGGCGACCGUGGGGCGCCGCUGUUCUGCCGGAAGCGAGGCGCCUACUUCCUGUUUGGCGUGUUGACGUGGGGCAGCCGGCGCUGCGACGCAGAGCGACCCGCCAUCUUCUCCAGGAUCACAGACUACCAUCCCUGGAUCUCUGAGGUCACCCAGGACCUCUGAGGUCACCCAGGACGACCUCUGAGGUCACCCAGGACGACCUCUGAGGUCACCCAGGACGACCUCUGAGGUCACCCAGGACGACCUCUGAGGUCACCCAGGACGACCUCUGAGUAAUGACGGAAAUAAAAAUACU